UCCUCGGGYKUGGAAAGUUUUUCGGUUAAGGAUGAGCUCGCGGCCUAUCAGCUWGUUGGUGAGGUAAUGGCUCACCAAGGCGACGACGGGUAGCCGGCCUGAGAGGGYGACCGGCCACACUGGGAYUGAGACACGGCCCAGACUCCUACGGGAGGCAGCAGUGGGGAAUAUUGGGCAAUGGRCGAAAGCCUGACCCAGCRACGCCGCGUGAGGGAUGAAGGCCUUCGGGUUGUAAACCUCUUUCAGCAGGGAAGAAGCGAAAGUGACGGUACCUGCAGAAGAAGCACCGGCUAA
rnacentral:rRNA from 1 species